CUUAAAUGAAUUGACGGGGGCCCGCACAAGCGGUGGAGCAUGUGGUUUAAUUCGAUGCAACGCGAAGAACCUUACCUACUCUUGACAUCCAGAGAACCUAGCAGAGAUGCUUUGGUGCCUUCGGGAACUCUGAGACAGGUGCUGCAUGGCUGUCGUCAGCUCGUGUUGUGAAAUGUUGGGUUAAGUCCCGCAACGAGCGCAACCCUUAUCCUUUGUUGCCAGCGAUUCGGUCGGGAACUCAAAGGAGACUGCCAGUGAUAAACUGGAGGAAGGUGGGGAUGACGUCAAGUCAUCAUGGCCCUUACGAGUAGGGCUACACACGUGCUACAAUGGCAUAUACAAAGAGAAGCGACCUCGCGAGGGCAAGCGGACCUCAUAAAGUAUGUCGUAGUCCGGAUUGGAGUCUGCAACUCGACUCCAUGAAGUCGGAAUCGCUAGUAAUCGUAGAUCAGAAUGCUACGGUGAAUACGUUCCCGGGCCUUGUACACACCGCCCGUCACACCAUGGGAGGGGGUUGCAAAAGAAGUAGGUAGCUUAACCUUCGGGAGGGCGCUUACCACUUUGUGAUUCAUGACUGGGGUGAAGUCGUAACAAGGUAAC
rnacentral:rRNA from 1 species